rnacentral:rRNA from 1 species
GAUGAACGCUGGCGGCGUGCCUAAUACAUGCAAGUCGAGCGAACGGACGAGAAGCUUGCUUCUCUGAUGUUAGCGGCGGACGGGUGAGUAACACGUGGAUAACCUACCUAUAAGACUGGGAUAACUUCGGGAAACCGGAGCUAAUACCGGAUAAUAUUUUGAACCGCAUGGUUCAAAAGUGAAAGACGGUCUUGCUGUCACUUAUAGAUGGAUCCGCGCUGCAUUAGCUAGUUGGUAAGGUAACGGCUUACCAAGGCAACGAUGCAUAGCCGACCUGAGAGGGUGAUCGGCCACACUGGAACUGAGACACGGUCCUGACUCCGACGGUAGGCAGCAGUAGGGAAUCUUCCGCAAUGGGCGAAAGCCUGACGGAGCAACGCCGCGUGAGUGAUGAAGGUCUUCGGAUCGUAAAACUCUGUUAUUAGGGAAGAACAUAUGUGUAAGUAACUGUGCACAUCUUGACGGUACCUAAUCAGAAAGCCACGGCUAACUACGUG